AUUGAACGCUGGCGGCAGGCCUAACACAUGCAAGUCGAACGAGCGGCGGACGGGUGAGUAAUGUAUGGGAAACUGCCUGAUGGAGGGGGAUAACUACUGGAAACGGUAGCUAAUACCGCAUACCAUCAGCUGAGCCCAGAUGGGAUUAGCUAGUUGGUGGGGUAACGGCUGACAUAGGGGACGAUCCCUAGCUGGUCUGAGAGGAUGAACAGCCACACUGGGACUGAGACACGGUCCAGACUCCUACGUGAGGCAGCAGUGGGGAAUAUUGCACAAUGGGCGAAAGCCUGAUGCAGCCAGGCCGCGUGUAUGAAGAAGGCCGUCGGGUUGUAAAGUACUUUCAGCGGGGAGGCGUUACCCGCAGAAGAAGCACCGGCUAACUCCGGGCCAGCAGCCGCGGUAAUUC
rnacentral:rRNA from 1 species